UGAAGCAGUACCGUAAGGAGUUGUGGACUGAUGAGAAGUGAGAAUGUCGGUAUGAGUAGCGAAAAGAAUGGUGAGAAUCCAUUCCACCGAAAGCCUAAGGGUUCCUGAGCAACGAUCGUCGUCUCAGGGUAAGUCGGGACCUAAGCCGAGGCGGAAAAGCGUAGGCGAUGGACAACAGGUUGAAAUUCCUGUACCGGUGUGAAUCGUUUGAUCGAUGGAGUGACACAGUAAGGUAGGUCAGCACGCGAUUGGAAGUGCGUGUUUAAGCAUGUAGGUUGAGCUAUAGGCAAAUCCGUAGCUCUAAAAGCUGAGAUGUGAUGACGAGUUACUAGCGAUAGUAACGAAGUGAUUGAUCCUACACUGUCGAGAAAAGCUUCUAGGUAGAGACACAUCGCCCGUACCAAAACCGACACAGGUAGGCGGGGAGAGAAUCCUAAGGUGCGCGGGAAAACCCUCGUUAAGGAACUCGGCAAAAUGCCUCCGUAACUUCGGGAAAAGGAGGACUCAUGUAGUGUGAAGUGCAGCAACGCAUGGAGCAUGAAUGAGUGGCACAAGAGAGGCGCAAGCGACUGUUUACCACAAACACAGGUGCCUGCUAAAGCGAAAGCUGAUGUAUAGGUGCUGACACCUGCCCGGUGCUGGAAGGUUAAGAGGAGGGGUUAGACUUUGGUCGAAGCUCUGAAUUGAAGCCCCAGUAAACGGCGGCCGUAACUAUAACGGUCCUAAGGUAGCGAAAUUCCUUGUCGGGUAAGUUCCGACCCGCACGAAAGGUGUAACGACUUGCGCACUGUCUCAACGAGGGACCCGGUGAAAUUGAAGUACCUGUGAAGAUGCAGGUUACCCGCGACUGGACAGAAAGACCCCAUGGAGCUUUACUGCAACCUAAGAUUGAACUUAGUUAAUGAAUGUACAGGAUAGGUGGGAGACGUAGAACCUAGGACGCCAGUUUUAGGGGAGUCGUUGUUGGGAUACCACCCUUUCAUUAAUUGAUUUCUAACGGGCCGAGUAACGACCGGCCGGACAGUCUUAGGCGGGCAGUUUGACUGGGGCGGUCGCCUCCUAAAGAGUAACGGAGGCGCCCAAAGGUUCCCUCAGAGCGGACGGAAAUCGCUCGAAGAGUGUAAAGGCAGAAGGGAGCUUGACUGCGAGACGGACAGGUCGAGCAGGGACGAAAGUCGGGCUUAGUGAUCCGGUGGUGCCGAGUGGAAGGGCCAUCGCUCAACGGAUAAAAGCUACCCUGGGGAUAACAGGCUAAUCUCUCCCAAGAGUCCAUAUCGACGGGGAGGUUUGGCACCUCGAUGUCGGCUCAUCACAUCCUGGGGCUGAAGUAGGUCCCAAGGGUUCGGCUGUUCGCCGAUUAAAGUGGUACGUGAGCUGGGUUCAGAACGUCGUGAGACAGUUCGGUCCCUAUCCAUCGCGGGCGCAAGAAACUUGAAGGGGGCUGCUCCUAGUACGAGAGGACCGGAGUGGACGAACCGCUGGUGUACCAAUUAUCCUGCCAAGGGUACAGUUGGGUAGCUACGUUCGGGACGGAUAAACGCUGAAAGCAUCUAAGCGUGAAACCAGCCUUGAGAUGAGGUUUCUCAUAGCAUAAGCUAGUAAGAUCCCAUGUAGACGACAUGGUUGAUAGGCCAGGUGUGGAAGAGCCGUGAGGUUUGGAGCUGACUGGUACUAAUAGAUCGAGGGCUUUACUUA
rnacentral:rRNA from 1 species